GAGAGCUCUAACAGAGCUGUGUCCUAUGGUCCUGGAGAGCUCUAACAGAGCUGUGUCCUAUGGUCCUGGAGAGCUCUAACAGAGCUGUGUCCUAUUGUCCUGUAGAGCUCUAACAGAGUUGUGUUUCUGUCCUGGAGAGCUCUAACAGAGCUGUGUCCUGGAGAGCUCUAACAGAGCUGUGUCCUGGAGAGCUCUAACAGAGUUGCGUUUCUGUCCUGGAGAGCUCUCACAGUGUUGUGUUUCUGUCCUAUAGAGCGCUGAGAAGUUGUCCCAGCAGCUUUUUGAGGAAGUGGAGAGGCUGAAGGAGCAGAACAACAACACAGAGACUCAGUAAGACUCAACAAGAACAUUUUACAGCAUAUUUUGUUUGGUUCUUGUUCCGCUGACAUCUCUUUUCUCUGUUCUCCAGAAAGAAGAGACUUGAGGACCAGCUGAAGAUGGUAGCAGGUAUUGUCUCUGGUUAUAAUUGUACUUUCUGUAAACCCUCAACCGCUGAUAUACCCACAUUGUAAUAGUCCACUGUCUGAUGUAUGUAACUCAGUCUUACCUGUGAAACUGUUUUAUUAUGAAGAGACAACAGAGAAGCAGUGUGUGGAUAAUGUCCAGCUGAGACAGGAGAAGACGGCACUGCAGAAAGACCUGCUGAAAACACAGGUGUCGUUGAAGACAUGUCAGAAGGUAGCAGAGGAAGUGCAGCAGUUGAAGGAGGACAACGCCAGGACAUCCGUUCUAAAAUACGACCUGGAAAAACAUCUUGUACUGUUUCAAGAUUCUCAACUCAAGCAAGAGCGUGACAUUACCAGGCUGAAAACAGAGAAGAUUGUACUGGAGAACGAGCUUCUACAUCUUCAGGUUUGCAUGUUCUCCCUACUUCCACUCACGCUACAACCAGCACUGCAGCUGCGAUGAAGGAGUUUAACAAAGUGUUCCGAUAAGCUUACGCUGUUUUUAUUAGAGGCUUGUCUUUUUCAAUAUGGAGGAAUAUUUCACUUACUCUGGUCAUAGGAGUAACAACAGGAAUUGGUGUAUGAGGCAGAAAUAAUGCAUAG
ensembl:lncRNA